rnacentral:lncRNA from 10 species
CAAACUCUGUUAAUUUUAAGAUACCAUCAAUUAUAAGACACAUUCUACUUCAAAGAUACUUUUAAAAAUUUAAAUGAGUCUUAGAACAGAUAAAAUGUGGGAGGAUUUGUAAGACGGCUUAAGUUCACAAAAACUUUUGUCUUGUACAGUAAUUCAUCUGAGCCUUGUAAUAACCAUGAAAAGAAGGAAUCAUCCUCAUUUCCUAGAUGACAAGAGGAAGACCACACAAUUAGCAAGAGUCAAAACUAGAACUUAGGUCUCCCGUCUCCUGGUAGGGUAUUCUUUUCACCCCAACACAGAAUACUUUCAGGGUCUGGAGGGAACAGAUAUUAUCCUAAUUUUAUAAGGAGAAAGAAAUUGUCUCUGGCCUGGGCCACUUCUUUUGGCCAUGAUGCCCUAAUGGCUUCUGUGAUACAGAACCCAAGCAACUUUUGGGGCUUUUUCAUGAUGAAACUUGCCUAUUAAGGGAUCUUUUUAUUUUGUUUUUAGAUCUAGUCUUUACACAAUCAGCUUUAUGUUUCAUUUUGCCUUUAUCAUCAGGAUUUGAUAAUGUGGAAACAAUGUUUGCCAGCUUGGAUGUUUAGCUAACUAACAGCAAAUUCACAUGAGGUUAUGUUUAUCUUCAAGCUGAUCCCCCCUAUAUUUCUUUCCUUUUAAAACCCUAUCGCCUGGAGAAUAAAAGCACUUUUUUUAAAAGGCAUAAGAAACUAAGUGGGAGAGAAGGAAAAGGGAGGGGAAAUGGAGAGAGAAAAGGAAGAAAUGAAAGCAGU